rnacentral:rRNA from 1 species
UACGAAAGGUGCAAGCGUUACUCGGAAUCACUGGGCGUAAAGCGCGCGUAGGCGGUCUCGUAUGUCGAUUGUGAAAGCCCUGGGCUCAACCUAGGAACAGCAGUCGAAACUGCGAGACUUGAAUGUUGGAGAGGGUGGGGGAAUACCUAGUGGAGAAGUGAAAUUCGUAGAGAUUAGGUGGAACACCAGAGGCGAAGGCGCCUGCCUGGCCAAACAUUGACGC